rnacentral:rRNA from 1 species
GAUGAACGCUGGCGGCGUGCCUAAUACAUGCAAGUCGAGCGAACAGACGAGGAGCUUGCUCCUCUGACGUUAGCGGCGGACGGGUGAGUAACACGUGGAUAACCUACCUAUAAGACUGGGAUAACUUCGGGACACCGGAGCUAAUACCGGAUAAUAUACUGAACCGCAUGGUUCAAUAGUGAAAGACGGUUUUGCUGUCACUUAUAGAUGGAUCCGCGCCGCAUUAGCUAGUUGGUAAGGUAACGGCUUACCAAGGCAACGAUGCGUAGCCGACCUGAGAGGGUGAUCGGCCACACUGGAACUGAGACACGGUCCAGACUCCUACGGGAGGCAGCAGUAGGGAAUCUUCCGCAAUGGGCGAAAGCCUGACGGAGCAACGCCGCGUGAGUGAUGAAGGUCUUCGGAGCGUAAAACUCUGUUAUUAGGGAAGAACAAAUGUGUAAGUAACUAUGCACGUCUUGACGGUACCUAAUCAGAAAGCCACGGCUAACUACGUG